AGUUUUCCUCCUUGCCAUUGCGCAGUCUAGCAACGCUGAUAUCGAGGCCGUUGAGUUUGAGCGUUUGAGCUCUGCGGCGUGCGUCUCUCUCUGCUUGUCGUGCAGAGACUUGUUAACGGUCUGUUGGACCACUGAAUAAUAUUUUCUUCCAACAAUAACGUUUUUCAGCAUGCUGAGGUGUAAUGAAUGCGACGACUGCAAGUCAUAUAGCUGCAUGUCCUACCACUAUCUACUCAAGAAUAGUCUGACUUUAAUGGCACGCACUGCAGAUGACGAAGGUGAUAAUUUCCCCUGAAAGGCCAGCGUAGCUUGGCAUGACAUUCAAGUGACAAACUUUGAAGGUGGUGUGAAGGAGGUCCGCUGCGCUGUAAGUUUCAGAUUGACCAGUGGUGUGCACAGCACAGUGGAAAAGACGAUGAAAAAGCGCUGCUCCACCUCCACAAAGGAAGAAAGUACUAUGCAAAUUGCAAGGAAGAGAAGGGCAACGGUUGAACAAAAGGAUUAUUACACAGCAGAAGUAAUUUAUGUCUUUGCUCAUCUGGUGAGGGAGAU